ensembl:lncRNA
AAGCUAUUGUCUUCACAUCUGUUGCUACAGUUUGAAGUCCAUGGGCAGAUGAAUGUAAAGUGGGGAGAGCAGGGAUAACCAUGAACCCAAGGAUGUGCUAGAACCCAUGAAGAUGGACAGAAUUACAUAUCAAUUCUCACUGCCUCUGAUGUUUAUGUCUACAGGAAAGGCCAGUGCCCUCAUCAUACAACUAAACUCAGAAUUCAGAGUUGGCCCAGAAGUCAGAAAACCUGAAAAAGGACCCCAUGGAAAGGUCAUCAGCUGUGAUGAAAGUAUGUAUUAUUACCGAAUUAAGAAGAAACCUAUGCUAGGCAAUUUCCAUGUGUGGAUUCAUUGAAUCCUCAUAACAACUUAUGAACUCAGGUACUUUUAUUUUUCCAAUUCACAGCCAUAAAGAAAAGGCAUAGUGAGAAGAGAUCAUUUAAACUGGUCACACCGUAAGUGGCACCCAUGAGAAAUCCUGAAUCUAGCUAGCUGGGCCUCAGGAACAAAAAUGAUCAGAACAACGAUGAUCCCCCAAAUGAUCCUUUCCAGCUCCAACAUCAAUUUUCUAAAGUGAUCACAAUUUUGCUUUAUUACCACCUGCUGUAUAAGUGAAUAUAUUAUAUUGGAUCUAGCCUAAUGUGACUUGGAUCAAAGCUGUUGUGACUUUCAUAAAAGUUUUUGCUCUAGCAAAUUCUGUGUAAAGACACUCAUUGUCGCUUGUGUCUCUCCUCUUUUUGCUCCCACAGCCUUGAAAAAAAUGCUUCUCCACCUCAGGUUCCUCACCGUUUCUCUAUCCUUUCCACCUUGUCAACUUCUGCCUCCUGCCCACAGUCCUUGACCGCUCCUCCCCCUCCCCGUACCAUUCCCAGGACUGCCCUAUUCCACCUGCCACCAGAUCCUAAAGGCUAUUACUCUGAACGUUAUCAAGAGCCAAUUCCAACCAGCAACACUGCUCUGAGACAGUCACUUCAAAAAAGGCUACAAAUCAAGAAUGCAUCAAUUGCUGCUCUUAUCCUCCCCAAAUAGAUCCAUACACUUGAUUAUUCCUUCUUUGAGAACAGAGAUUCCUGAAUUUUAACAUGCACAGGAAUUAUCUGCAAAUCUUGUUAAAUGCAGAUCUGAUUCAGGGCUCUAGGUUGGGGCCUGAGAUUCUGCAUUUCUACAAGCUCCCGGGGAUGUUGCAGGUCCCUGCUGGUCCCUGACCACACACCUUAUCUUGAUUAUGCCUCUCAACAACCCUUCAAUGAAAGCAUGGUGCUCACAUUUUACAGAUGAGAAAUGGGCUAAGAGAGGUAAAGAGACAGACCCAAGGUCCUAGAGCCAGUGAGUAAUGAGAGAGGGAUCUGAAAUUUGUCAGAUCUCUCUGACUCCAUAAACAACAAAAAAAGAAAAAAAGAAAAAGAAAUGUGUAUACAUACAUAGAGGUAUGUGUGUGUGUGUAUGUGUGUAUAAUGAAAUUGAAGAUAUGUAAUUGUCCAUCUCAUUUCAUUUUUUUUCCCCAUCUCAUUUCAAUAGCAUGGAAUGCUCAUCGGUGACAAGAGAAAACUUUCAGUCCUGCACAUUGCCAGUGCUUAAUAAAUAUUAAAUCCAUAGGUGUGAGUAGGAAUGC